AUGCUAAAAAGGCUGGCUGGCUGCCUUGGCGAGCGCCGGGGGUGGAGGAGGAUGUCGGCAUGCAUGGUAGGAAAAGGAAAAGUGCAGCUGGAGCGCCAGGAGGGGCGUGGGACGAGUGCUAACACGGUGCCCUGCGCGAUGGCUGGAGCUGUCACACGUUUUCUCCUUAAGGAGAACUAUCCCGCGGAGCUGAGUUUAAGCCAUGCUACGUGCGGAGAUGAAACCCCGCAAAGCGGCUGAUUGGGGCAUUUAAGCAGAGCAUGUCCCACGGUCAGAGCUGGAGAAGGGGUGAGAGGGGGGACCAUUGCACCUGGCCUGGGAGCAGCUGGGCGCGGGGGACCUGCCUGAGGGGCCCCUCCGACACUUGAGCCGCUUGGGGCAAGUUUGGUUUUUGAUGCAGCAGGUUGUGCUCUGCGUGGUGGGAAAACCACGCUUCCCUCCCUGAGGGGCAGCAGCAAAGGCUGCCGAGCAAAACAGCAGCAGGGGAGGCCAGAGAAAUUAUUUUACUAGAGAGAUGCUCUCGUUCAGCUGCAUGGUUGCGUGCAUUUGGCUGUCCCACCUGCUUGCUGAGAUCAUUCUCGCCUGGGUAUAUCCUUAAUGCAGGAGACGCCUUUUGCAUAAACACACAUGAAAAUGAUGGGUUUGCUUUUACUUGUGGGAUGCAAUCCUGGAUGCCACCAAUAUCGUCUUUCCUAUGUCAUGCUGGAGCUGUGUUCAUGGGACCAGGAGUCACUCGGAGAGCUGGGAGCUGCUUCAUUUCGGGUCUGAGCUGUCAAAUUAAAGCAGUACAGUGUUAGCAUCAGCAUAAUGUCACAGCAGCAUAGGAAUGGCUCUGGCCAGAUACUUGGAGAGGUGCAGUUCCCCAAAGCCCCUUAUCCUCCAUGCCCAGCCCUGGGCUGACAGCUCACACCUUUCCCACUCUCAGGUGGGGUAUCCGGCUUCGACCCAAAACCGUCUCUUCCCAGCCGGAUGUGGAGAUGGUGGGGAUAUCCUACACCCAAACAAAAGGGAAACUUGGGGGCUGAAAAUGCAAACUUUUCCCACUCUGUUUGCUGAGCAAGCGCGUCUCCCCCAUAGGAGAGGAGGACAGCGAAGAAGACCUUGGUUUCCUUCCUGGGGAUGGAGGUGUGUCCCAGGCAAAUGGAGGGUGUUACAGCCAAUACCCCACUGGAAGGGUCACUGUGCUUUUCUACCAGGGAUGCUGCUACUGUCCUACUCCUUUACUGCUGUUUUCAGCUUAGGAUGUUCCAGUUCUGGUGUGUUUUAUCCAGUGUCUCUGCAGAUCUCCUCUCCUUGAGUGAUGCGCAGCCCAGAGCCCGAGAUGUUGCCCUGCGACCACCUCCACUGGGAGAAUGGACUGUUUCCCCAUCCUCUCCACUUCCCAUCAUUUAACCAGGAGUUACUGAUGCUCAAAGCAGUUUUGCAGCUCAGCUCGGCUCUCCCCUGCGUAAGGUGAGCCGUCUCCUCCGCCGGCGUCUGGAGUGCUGAGGGCUGUGAAGCAUCGAGCCCUGCUCCCCUCCUCGCUGCCUGCCGUGCUCCCACCGGCUCCGGACCACACAUCGGCUCCAGCUGGACGUGCAACGUAACGCAAAGUCCAGAGCCUCAAAGGCAGAUCGUCCUGGUGGCGCUGGGGCAGCUGCAAGCUGGAGUUACUGGCUAAAGGUGUAAUUUCAGGAAACCUUGUAAGGGCAGCUCUGCGGGGUUGGAUCUGGAUGUUUUCCCAGCUACACACCCACACCAGGCACGUUCAUCCCAGCGCUGAUUUUGGGGCGCUGUAAGAAAAGGCUUUGCCCUUUGAGUGCAAAUCCCAUUUUUUCUGGCUUUGGCAAUUCCUGAAUGAGCUGUAAGACGUUCAGGCUGACACUGAGCUCACCCACGCUAGCACUGGAUUGAGCAGAGCCUGAACCAGCGACUGAUGGCAUUUUUAAGCCCUGCAGAAAAGCGGUCAGUCUGAAAAUGCAAGUGUCAGCAAAACCGAAAGAAACCAGCUUAACAUCAGCUACUGAUAUUUUUAGUUUUAACGAAAGUGUAUCAUUCUCCUCCCUGUCUGACAGACCCACGUGGAGAACAGCAUCAUUCUGCUUCACCGCGUUUUAAAAGCCAGUGUGCUUUUACAAAGCCCAGACACAACUGCCACCUUAUUUCUUACACAGGCAGGACAGUGUUUGCAUAUAAAAUUGCUCUGUAGCCAUUAGAGCCCAUUUUUCUGCAGUACAUUGACUUGUGUGUGGCAUGGCUUAGCCUGGCACAUAGGGAUACUUUUGCCGAAUCCUUUCCACAGCUUUUCCUGGGCUGUCCAUAGGAAAGAGCAAGCUGCUCUCCAGCUGUGGUAUCUCCCAUGCUGAGCAGGAUAGUCCAUAACUGCUGGCUUGCAGUCACGUAACCUGCACCCCCGCUUGGUCCUUGCCCACCCCAGACCCCUGAAACAGCCUUGUUUGUGGCUGUAUCACCGGUUUGAUGGUGACUUUGCUUUUUCUCUUCAUUUUGCAGCUUUUGGCAAAUAUAAUCAGACUGAAAUUAUAGGAAAGUGAAAAUAUUAGGGUACCAGGUCUCAGGACCAGUAGGUGGUAUUGUCAACCCACCCCUUAAACUACAGGGACCGCUCACCAAUCACCAAAACGCAGCCUCCGCCAGUGCGGGACAGGCAUUGCUUGCCGGCACGCAGCGGCAUUGCACGGCAGCUUGGGAGAUCCAGCGGAGGUCGGUGUUAGGUCAGUCUGAAACCAGCGGGAACCUCAGGGAGCAAAACGAAAGCAGCCAAAGUCAGGGUUUCACCCCAGCCUUGGGGCCAGAAAGCCUGUGUGUGACCCUGCGGACGGCAGUGAGCUGAGCCACAGUUGAAAAUCUGAGCGCAGCUCUGCAGUCCCCGGUGUUGCCCCGGGAGAGGGAUGGCAAAUUGCCCCAUGGCCAGAUGGGGGGGACUCAUCCCAGAGAAGGAGGACAGCCUGGCCCGAGCUGGCAUAGACCUUCUGCCCUUUCUGCCCGACCUCCCAACAGGAACAUCUGCAUCUCCCCUCUUGUCCAGGAGGAUAGUAUUUUAGAGAUGAAAUCUUUCUCCAUGGGAAACCCCCUUCGGGCUGAUGCAAAUACUCGUUAGCUUUCUUUCCAGCCAUCAGGCCUUCUGCAAUUUCUGUUUCCUCUCCGGGUGCCUGGCUCCAAGUGCUUUUGCAAGGAUCAGAUUCAGCUAUGCUGGGAAAUUCCUGAUAGACUCCGGGAAGGCUCUCUUACUUAUGAGUGGGCUGAAUUUAGGUAGCAAUGCCCCUAGCACGUCCCUCCUGCUGCUGGCUGAUGCUGGACAUGACUCAUUCCUCCAUCCGCAUCCACUUCAAAGACAGGUUAUCAUUGCCCUGCUGCAAGCUGGAUAAAGAGAUAUCAAGGCAAGCCAAGGUGUCUGACCAUCUCUGCAGUCAAACCUUUGAUCACUUACAAGCCCUUGGCAUCAAACGUGUCGGAAAACCACCACGGCAAAGAUCCUGUAAUUCCAAAAAGGGAUACAGAGAACAAGAUAUUUUUACAUCUCAAAACUCUAUCAUUCCCAGGAAGUUGAGCCAGUUUGGGAUGAAGCAGCAUCUCCAGAGGUGUGGUCCCUGCAUCCCUGGGGUCACCCGGGACCAGCAGGCUGAGGACAUGGGGAGCUGGGAGCCGACCCAGCUCAGCCUGCCCGAGAGCCUCGUCCCUGCGCCGGCUGCCUCGGCGCCUGCGAGAAGUCCCACGGGAGGCAGAUGUGAGCUAACCUGCCCCGGGAGCUUUCACCGUGACGCUAGCGGUUGGCUUAAACCAUGGAGUGAGAGGCUGGUGCAUCCCCCGAGGACCUUACCUGCAGUGCUCGAUGCUCACAUUACAUCUCUGGCUCAUCCUCACAAGAUAAUAGUAACCAAGAGCUGUUUUUCCCCUCCUCCGUGAAGGUUUUUGAGUUAUUGAGCCUCUCUCGCUUGCUGUGGCAGCAGGCAGCUCUCAAGGGCUCCCUCUGCAAGCGGAGCCUCUGACUGAGCCUGUGUCCAAGUGGCCAAAAGCUCACUGCAGACCAGUCACCUCCGGCCCUUAUUUCUUCACCCAGCACAGGAUGAGGUCACCAGCUUGAAUGUGGGGCAGCCUGAAAGGAGAGCACCCUUUUCCCCCUCACUCUUCCUACGUUUCGACCAUCUCCCAGCCCGUUCAGCCCAGGUUCAGCUGCGGCACCAAGCAGCCCGUCGUCCCCCGGCUGCGCUUUGCAGUUUCCAGCCUGUGCCGUCGGCUCGGCAGAUGGAGCUGCUUCCCCAGGCCGCGCCGUGGGCUGCGGAGCUGGUGGAAAGCGCAGUUUCUCCUCCGUCCGCUUGGGAAGAAGGAGGUUGUUCAUAGGCGAGGACGUGAGCAGGACUUUCCACUCCCAGCUCCUACAACAGUUAGGACCGAAAGACCGAUGGAGCAAAUGGCUUUACUCACAGUACUGAGGGUCUGGGACUCUCUGCAUAAGGAAAAUCCCAGGGACCUGCUGUAGUAAGAUCCCCCAAGGCCGAGGGUGGAGGCCAAUGAUAGCCUGCUCCAGGCCUUUCUCCUCACUGGAGGCGCCGGGAGUCCCCCCAGGCUCGGUGCCGGGUGCAUGCAGCACAGCGGCCGGUAUCAUCCCUGCUUCAGGACACCAUAUUCAAUAUUUUCCCAGUUUACCCUGAGAGGGGAUGUGGACUGAGACCUGACAAACUCGUGCCACGUGUGCCAAGUGAUUGGCAGAGCUGCUGGGGUUAGACCUGACCUGGCAGGUCAGGUGCCUAAUCUGCUGCAGCUCCCGUCUUGGCUCUGCCUCCCACCUUGCCUGCAGCAACAGCAGAGACCUCCCUUGUCGUCUCAUCCAAGCACGUAGGAAGGGGACCUGUGAGCAAACCUGCCCCCGGAGCCCCCGGGAGUAAACCCCGCGCGAAGGUCCGGCCUGGCCCAACGCCUGCACGUGCCAGGGGAAACGAUACCUGCUGGGGGCUGCUUUGGUUUUGCGUGUGCUUUCUCCUAAAGCCCCAUUUUAAGUGGUUUAAAAAGGGUUAGUAAA